rnacentral:misc_RNA from 1 species
AAUUAAUUUUAUGAUUAAAAAGAAAAAGGAUACAGGAGAUCACAUUACAAACUGGUUAUGAAGAACAAAUACUGGAGAAUUAAACAGACUCCAACUUAGAACCAUUUUGAAGACAUUCUCCAAAUACAGUACUCGAUUUACAUCUGCCUCUUAAGCAGGUUCUCUAAGAAUAAUAUGAAACAACUGUAAAUGUAAAGGGAAAAAACCAUUUGACUACCUGAUUUCUUUUACAAGAAUACAAAAAAGACUAGCACUACCUGAAAACAGCUCUAACAAUUAGAUUAUACACCAAUCAGCUCCUAAAGAAUUGAACCAUACUUACACACCUGCAAAUCAUCAAACAUACAGCUAACGAUAACAGCAAACCUUUAUAUGAUUUUAGCAUUCAGUCCGAAAAAUCAGCAAGGUUGCACAGGCGAUGAAACAAGCAGAAGCAACCAUGCUCGAUACAUUCUCUGUUUUUCCAGCUUAAGCUCCACCACCAGUUACAUUCCUCUCUUAAGUGCCCUUAAAAGCCAACUCGUUGAAUUCGAGAAGUUAAUCUCAUCAAAUGAAUGGAACUUGAAUGCCUAAAGCCUGCAAUUUUUUUCAACAGCUUGUGAUCCUAAUUACACAUCAUCAAAGUGAAAAUAAUCAGCAACCUUCAGAUGAUUUGAAAGUCGGAGAACUGCCGAACGCACAACUUCAGAGCUCGGAGACACAGAACUGGGAAGAUGGGGCAGGCAAACAGGCAGAUAUUGCUCAUUAUCUCUUUGAGGACAGAAGCAUGAUAGAACAGAAUGGCAGAAUAUAAAUCUGGAGACGCAUUCCAUAAACAUAUCUCAGUUAGCCAAAUUUAAUGAUAUACAAAACUAAAAAGAAUUAUUGUCAUAUUCAUUUCAUAAAAAAGAAGCCCAGUGAAGAGGGGGGUAGAAAAGGUCCUGCAUUUUCAUUAACAAAAUCUCAUCAUUGUAACUUUGUAAGAUUUAAAAUGAUUUCAGUCGCAAAAGGCCAACACUGUAUCCAUCAUAUUAUGUGAAGCAGAGUCACCCACUUUACCUGUUUGCAUAUAUCAUUUCUUAAGAGAAAUAUGUCCUUUAAGUGGUUUGAUAGCUCUUCAGUCAAAUGCUUGCUUAGGAAUACAAGAGGAAAGAGGUUCAAACCCCCACAACCCCUUCUCUUUUCUUAAUAUUAAAGACAGAAAUAUGUACCUGAUAAUAAGACGCCGCAGAAAUGGAUCAGAUAAAACUUGAGCCCAAACCAGAUCCAGGCUAUUUGAUGUACAUAAAAUCACCUCCCACUCAGAGAAUGCACUGGAGAGUAUCUCCUCAGCAUCAUUGUAAACAUCUGUAUCAGUAUCAAUAAAUGAGAGGCCAACCAUCUGGUAAAAAGCCUGUAGAGGAGCAGUUAAGAAAAAGGUAAACUGACUUCCAUUAUGUGUUGCAUCAACACCAGCUAGGUUCUUGAAUGCUGGCUUCAAAGGCGAAAAUAGCAAUGCAGAUGGCUCUCCCCUUUCUGCACCAUGCAAGACCUUGAAUGCAUGGCUGCUGUCACUAUCAAUAAUCAAGAAAAGUGGUCUUCUGGUAAAAGGAAUUAUAUCACCAGGAUAAAGGGUAUUUGAACCAGCAGUUCCUCUGGGACCUAGCCAUAGGUAAUUGUCAUGAUAGUCACUUGAAUCUCGCUUGCCAUUAGUAUGAGAUUCAGAUGCAUAACUAUUUUGUUCACUGGAUGUUCCAGAAACAACUUUGUUUUUAGAAGACUUCCAUGACCCUCCAGAGCUCUCCACCUGAGAAACAUUACUUUGGCCAGCCUUCCCUGAGACUGAUAUAUAUAUUAGCAUAAUGCCUUCAGGAGGGAGCUCCUCACAAAUUGUUGCCAUAACCUGCCAGCAAAUGAUAUAGUUAAACAUCAACUUUACUAUUAUAAAUCCAUAACAAAAAGGUAGAUGAAAAAAGUGCACAAGUAACAAAUAUUAAAAUGAUCAUAACUAAAUAUUAGCACUAGUUACUGAAUCUCAAAGAACCUAUAUAUUCUUUGUAUGCAUUAUAUGUAACCUGUAUUAAGGUUUUGCCAAUUGAUCCACUGAUAUUUCUUUACUUUUUACUGGCAAAACAAUGGACUAUGGACUAAAAUUGAUAGAAACCACUACUUACAAGAAAAAUAUAAUAUCUGAUCUUUAUAAAGUUGAACUGGGCAGAAUAUUAUAUAGACAACAAUAUGCCACAGCAUAUAUUGACUGUAAGCUACAUUUUACAUUGAGGCAGAAAUCAUUCACUAUUUCACCAACAACUACAAUAUCAAAAGAGGCCUGUUUACGAGGAAACAUUGAUUAUAACCACCUAAAUAUGAGUAGUAGCAUAAGCACUUCAAUAUGAAGGUAGAAAUACCAAUGCAACUGUCCCAUACAACGAAAGUUAACUUUAACAAACAUAAUCAAGUAAGAGCUUCAAAACUAACUGCUAGCAAAUGUGUCGCGGAAGGACGAUAAAGAAUAGCUUUCCUAGGAUUUCGUGGUAAAGUUGGAUCAGUGAAAUCUGCAGCCAGGUUUAUAUCUAUUAGUCCAGAAGCUCCAGAAUGAUCAGUUACAGUGCCAUUCUCGUAUGAUUCGACUGGAUGCUUUUGGUAGACUGAUUCAACUGGAUGCUUUUGGUAGAAAGACCCACUUGGCUCCCAUUCCAAACAUUGCAGCAUUCUAUAAGUGUCCAAAGUAAUUUCUGCAAAUUUAACCUCAUUCCGGUGAUAGCUUGUCAGGACUGCAUCUUUAAACUUUAGGACCUUCCUUGCAUGGAAACGGGCCACGUAUGGAUGAGAAGUUGGACGUGAAUCAAACUGGACACAAUAACGCAAAGGCCUGGUAUUUGCAAAGGCAGUAUCAACUUCCAAGAAGCGGACAAUUUCUUGCACCACUAGCUUCCACUCUUUGAAGUUUGUUUCCUGAAUAUAUAAUCCAGAAACUUGAUCAUGCCACUAGUAAGUAUCAGCUGAAAAUCAUACUACUGCUUGCUCUUAAGAGCAAUUGUGCACAAACACAUAUGGAAACAUGUAAAGUUUAGUGUUAACUUAGAAUAAUGACAUAUUUAAGAAAUGCCUCCAAAAUGUUCAUAAUCAAGCGUUUGUAAUGAUGUGAGGAUUUUACUGUCAGAGGUCAUUUCUAGUAAAUGAAAAAUUCACUUGCAUAUAAAUCUGAAAUUCCUCUAUUAUCAUCCCUAAACUUUCAGUUAACUUUCACUUCAAAAAGCUUAGAUUGCUCAAGUUAUGAGAAGGAAAUUUGGUUUUAUAAAUACAAAAAAGAAGGAAGUAAAUAUUAUGUAGUGAAAAAAUUGCACUCCUGUAUUUUUUCAUAGUAUGGAGACCAAUUCUUAUAAUUUUACAUAUCACCCUUGCCCAUCCUGACCUGACAGGUCAUACUAUUGUGAGAAAUACUCAAUCCAACCCAAAAGCCUAAGCUAACGAGUGGUAAGGCCCAAAAAUUAUAUUAAGCCUUAAUUUCUUAUGUGUUUUUGCAAUGUGGGAUUUUUAACUCUAAUAUCCCAUCUUGACACCUGCUAGGCCCUAUUAGCACAUGGCACAACUGGAUUGCUGACAUGGUGGAACAUAAGGACUGGAGAGACAAACGUGCCAAGCCCUAAUAACACACUCCAAUAGACAUGGCAGAUCGAGGGGAAACACAAAGAUUGGAGCGUAGAACUGGCUUUUAUACCAUGUCAGAAAAACUCAAUCCAACCCAAAAGCUUACACAUAAGGGUGGUAAGGCCCACAAAUUUUAUUAAGCGUUGAUCUCUUUUGCAUUUUUCAGAUAUGGGAUUUCUAACUCUAACAAAUAUUAUUCUCAAUCCCCCAUAAGACCAAUUAGCCAAUCAAUUAUUUGAGACAUAGCAAGUGAACUAGGCUAAAUAAAGUCAUAUUAAUGAUUCUGAGCAUUUUUUUAGUGACCUUUGCUAAUGCUGCACAAAUAUGUAACAGAGUUGGAAAAUUAAGGGGAUACAAGCAGAGUUAUGUCCCCUUCACCAUGUCACUUUCAGCCUUUCACUUCUUCAAGUCUCAUAAAAGCGAUCAGAAUUUCAGGAGUUAAACUUUCAUAUGAUCCAAACACCCACUAUACUUUGACUUUUGGCCUUGACAUGAUUAUAAGUUCUUUAAUUUGAAGAUCUAUACUUUUUCUAUCAGUCACACUCACAUGCCAAAUUGUCUGAACUCAUAAGGCGUCAUCAUAUUAGCACUACUUUUUGCCCCUUAUCUUCCUCUAAAAAAUGGAACCAAAAACCCACAUGGCCAGCCAGUUGCCCAGCAAUCCAGAUAACUCAACCCUUGCAGAGGUUUUUUCCCCGUUCGAUGGGAAGUUUUAACUUCAUUAAGAAACAAAGAAAUCAUUACAUCCAAGGCAAUGAAGGACUUGAUAGCCUCUAAGACAUCUAUACCUCACGCAUGCUCAAAGUCCAAAGUUUUUCCUCACUUCCAAUAGCACACCGACAACUGUAAAAGCUCCUCUAUUCACAUGAAAAACCUAAAAGCCAGAGAUCGGAUCAGCUAUAUAAAUUGCAUCACAUUUUAAAAAUAGGGCAUAUCUUCCUUGGGUCAAAGGAAAGAAUUUGCAGUUUUGAGAUUUCCACUCACCAAUUCAAUUCUCAGUAGCUCCGGCCUUGCACCAAAAGAAUACCCAAAACAAGUAGCCAGGCCUCAGCUAGCUUUAAUGAAUAUUAAGAUACAUUAUAUUUGGUUCUCUAAAUUGCCCUUUUCAUUCAUAAAGACAAGUUUUCACUCCUGCCUUAACCUUUACCAAUUUUUAAAACAGUAAUUAAUUCAACAACCUAGUUGAAUCACAAGUAUCCUUCCUCCAAAAUUGCAUAAAUGGGCAAAAACAGCAAAAGAUAGAGUCUGAUGAAUCAACUGUGCUUUACUAUGAUAUGCAAUGCAUAGUAAUCAUGCAUACUAACGGAAAUCACAUACCUUGAAUUGCAUUAAACUGAAUGUCAUGUCUAGCUUGCAGGUCCCAUGACACCUACUUGAUGGAUCUAAAUAAUAUGACUUCGCAUAAAAUAGCAUCUUCUAGAUUAGCAAACAAUCAAAACUCCAAAAAGAAAAAAUAAAGAAAGAAAGAAAAUUCUCAAGAUAUCCCCUUCAUCUCCUAGGACUGAAAAAUAGCUAAACCUCCCUGGCACUGUAAAGGCUCCAUUUGUAGAAAAGCUAAAAUUAGUUGUCUUGUCUGUUCUGUGGUUUUGAUCUUUCAAGAAAACCAAAUGCAAAUCUAGUUUUCUAGCAAGAACUGAGCUCUGUUAGUAGCAAAAAUUAAAUAAUUCUCUGUUCCAUGGUUUUAAUUUUCCAAGUAAACCAAAAAACCCUGGGAAUCUAGUUUUAUCAAAUAUGAACUAAUUUCCACAUAAAUUAAACAGCAAAAUAACAUUAAAAAAAAAAUCACAGUUUUUUCCCCAGCAACCAAACAAAUACCCGAUUCGACUCAAUCCCACCCAAAAUACCAAUUCUGCGAAUGAGCCUAAAAAAUUGUCCAAUUUCACAAAGACGGCACACUGAUUGCUAAUCAAGCAAAGCUUACCUAAGCCUCGGUCCUGCAAUCAUUAAAAAAGAGCUAAUUCUCACCAAAAGAAAUUUCACCAUCUCCAAUUCCACAAAUUCCCUCAUUUCAUGAGUUCAUCUCACUAAAAACUACCAGCUAAAACAGAAGGCUACCACAUAAAUCUAAAACAGAACUUCAGUGCGAAUUUUUUAGUCUCACUACCAAGCAAUUAUUAAAAAAAAAAAAUUAAUACCAAAACAAAGCAAAGACCUAAAGAGACAAAUAAUUGCAGCUAAAAGCACCAAAUAAACAUAGUCAUACACAUUACAGCACUAAAAGAUUUACAAAUAACAAUAAUAAUAAUAAUGAU